rnacentral:rRNA from 1 species
UGCAAAACGCGAAGAACCUUACCUGGUCUUGACAUACAGAGAACUUUCCAGAGAUGGAUUGGUGCCUUCGGGAACUCUGAUACAGGUGCUGCAUGGCUGUCGUCAGCUCGUGUCGUGAGAUGUUGGGUUAAGUCCCGCAACGAGCGCAACCCGUUUCCUUACUUGCCAUCGGGUCAUGCCGGGAACUUUAAGGAUACUGCCAGUGACAAACUGGAGGAAGGCGGGGAACGACGUCAAGUCAUCAUGGCCCUUACGACCAGGGCUAACACACGUGCUACAAUGGUCGGUACAAAGGGUUGCUACCUAGCGAUAGGAUGCUAAUCUCAAAAAAGCCGAUCGUAGUCCGGAAUUGGAGUCUGCAACUCGACUCCAUGAAUCGGAAUCGCUA